UACAGAGGUCCCAAGCGUUGUUCGGAUUCACUGGGCGUAAAGGGUGCGUAGGCGGUUUGACAAGUCUGAUGUGAAAUCCCGCAGCUUAACUGCGGAACUGCAUUGGAAACUGUUUGACUAGAGGAAUGGAGGGGAGACUGGAAUACUUGGUGUAGCAGUGAAAUGCGUAGAUAUCAAGUCGAACACCAGUGGCGAAGGCGAGUCUCUGGACAUUUCCUGACGCUGAGGCACGAAAGCCAGGGGAGCAAACGGG
rnacentral:rRNA from 1 species